AUUGAACGCUGGCGGCAGGCCUAACACUUGCAAGUCGAGCGGAUGAAGGGAGCUUGCUCCUGGAUUCAGCGGCGGACGGGUGAGUAAUGCCUAGGAAUCUGCCUGGUAGUGGGGGAUAACGUCCGGAAACGGGCGCUAAUACCGCAUACGUCCUGAGGGAGAAAGUGGGGGAUCUUCGGACCUCACGCUAUUAGAUGAGCCUAGGUCGGAUUAGCUAGUUGGUGGGGUAAAGGCCUACCAAGGCGACGAUCCGUAACUGGUCUGAGAGGAUGAUCAGUCACACUGGAACUGAGACACGGUCCAGACUCCUACGGGAGGCAGCAGUGGGGAAUAUUGGACAAUGGGCGAAAGCCUGAUCCAGCCAUGCCGCGUGUGUGAAGAAGGUCUUCGGAUUGUAAAGCACUUUAAGUUGGGAGGAAGGGCAGUAAGUUAAUACCUUGCUGUUUUGACGUUACCAACAGAAUAAGCACCGGCUAACUUCGUG
rnacentral:rRNA from 1 species